rnacentral:ncRNA from 2 species
GGAACCCGGUGAGAGUCCGGGACGGUCGCGCCACUGUGACCGGUCGCACCUGCGGCCGGGAGUCAGAUAC